rnacentral:rRNA from 1 species
AGUGAACGCUGGCGGUAGGCCUAACACAUGCAAGUCGAACGGCAGCACAGUAAGAGCUUGCUCUUACGGGUGGCGAGUGGCGGACGGGUGAGGAAUACAUCGGAAUCUACUUUUUCGUGGGGGAUAACGUAGGGAAACUUACGCUAAUACCGCAUACGACCUACGGGUGAAAGCAGGGGAUCUUCGGACCUUGCGCGAUUGAAUGAGCCGAUGUCGGUUUAGCUAGUUGGCGGGGUAAAGGCCCACCAAGGCGACGAUCCGUAGCUGGUCUGAGAGGAUGACCAGCCACACUGGAACUGAGACACGGCCCAGACUCCUACGGGAGGCAGCAGUGGGGAAUAUGGCACAAGGGGCGCAAGCCUGAUCCAGCCAUCCCGCGUGGAUGAAGAAGGCCUUCGGGUUGUAAAGCCCUUUUGGUGGGAAAGAAGGGAAGAAAGUUAAUACCCCGGUUUAUUGACGUUACCCAAAGAAGAAGCACCGGCUAACUCCGUG